rnacentral:rRNA from 1 species
UACGUAGGGGGCUAGCGUUGUCCGGAAUCAUUGGGCGUAAAGAGCGUGUAGGCGGCCCGAUAAGUCCGCUGUGAAAGUCCAGGCUCAACCCUGGGAUGCCGGUGGAUACUGUCGGGCUCGAGUCCGGAAGAGGAGUGUGGAAUUCCUGGUGUAGCGGUGAAAUGCGCAGAUAUCAGGAGGAACACCAAUGGCGAAGGCAGCACUCUGGGACGUGACUGACGCUGAGACGCGAAAGCGUGGGGAGCAAACAGG